GGAGUGAAGCUUGUGGUUUGAUGAAGAAACUUACUAAGUUUAGAUAUAGUAAGAAUUAAUAGAUUAAGAGCUCUUUCUUGAUUCUAUAGGUUGUAAUUUCUUAGUUGGUGAAGUGAUUUGUUUGGUUAAUUUUAUUAACAAACAAGACCCCAGCCUAGUAACUAGUGUUUUCUCCAAGCUAGCUUCUUAGAGAGGCUAUUUACUUUUGGUGGAUAGAAGUUUGAAGCAAUAAUAGAUUUGUGAUGCCUUUAGAUGUUUUGGCUGCACAUGCACUACAUUGAUGAACUCAACAAGUGCAUGCCUAUGUCAAUGUUAAAACCUUGACAUUAACAUUGGUAGAGUUGAUAUUAGAGUGAAAUGAGAUAUUUC
rnacentral:ncRNA from 1 species